GACGUAGGGCGCGAGCGUUGUCCGGAUUUAUUGGGCGUAAAGAGCUCGUAGGCGGCUUGUCGCGUCGACUGUGAAAACCCGUGGCUCAACCAUGUGGUCUGCAGUCGAUACGGGCAGGCUAGAAUUCGGUAGGGGAGACUGGAAUUCCUGGUGUAGCGGUGAAAUGCGCAGAUAUCAGGAGGAACACCGGUGGCGAAGGCGGCAUCCUGGACCGAGAUUGACGCUGAUGCGCGAAAGCCAGGGGAGCAAACGGG
rnacentral:rRNA from 1 species